GUUGAAACAGGUUCUGGGUGAGCCUUGGCCCUUCACAGAGCUGAAUGAUGAAGAGCAAAGAUUCUGGCCCCAGAUGGUCACCGAAGCCCUUCUCUUGUUGUAUCCUCGCUGAGUGAUCCCGGGUAGGCACAAUCAGUCAGUGAUUUGUGUUCUUCUAGCUCAUUCACUGAGCACCUACUGUGUCAGACCCUGGUACACAACACUGAAUGACAAAACCUCUGCCUGUGGUGCUUAUAUCUUAGGGGGUGUGCAUGUGGCAGAUAAAAGAGAAGUGAAUGAAUAAAUAUACAGAACAAUUUUAGGCAGUGCUAAGUUACGUGACUAGAAUAAAGCAUGGUUGUGUGAUAGAUAAAAAUAGGGGUGGGACUACCUUACACUGAGGGUGGGAGUGGGGAUCUGGGAAUGCUGCUCUGACCUGAAUUCAGAAACCAGAAUGAUGAAAAGGAGCUGGGCAUUGGAAGAUCAAGGAAAAGGGCAUUCCAGGAGAGGGGACAGCAAGUGCAAAGGCCCUGAGGCAGGAACAAGCUUGGGGCCAAUCAUGACUGCAAGCUUUCAGGGGAUGAAAAGAUCUCAGGAACAAGACAGUAUUAGCUGAGCGUUUUGAACAAGUCACUUGCCACUUUGAGCCUUAGUUUCCCCCAAUGUAAAACGAGAAUGAUAAAAGACCCAACCCUUAGGGAUGAGUGAAGAUUAAUCCAGUGGUGGGCCAGAAUUUCUCUACUGGAGGGGCUCAGGAAAUGGGGUGUGGGAACAUAUGUCUUGAAACUGUGGCACAGCAGGACCACUCUUUGUGCUUGGAUGAUUUGGGGUAGCUUUUGGGGGGGCGGGGGCCCAAUGGAGAUUAUUUUGGGCUGAAACCAAUGCUCCAAUCUCCCCAUGGCUCAGCCCCUGAUUUCAGGAGUUAAUAGCUUAAAGCAUGGCAUAAUGCCUGGCACAGAGCAAGUAGAGAGGAAUGGGGAGGGCAUUCCAGGUGGGAGGAAAGGCGUGUAGCUGGGAAUGUUUAAGGCGUGUUAGGAGAAGAGUGAGGAGACCAGCUUGGCUGGUGGGGAGGGGUGAGAGAGGAGGCUGGAAAGACAAGUUGAGGCCCAGGAUGAGACCUUGAAUGGCAUGCAAAAGGAGGGUGGGCCUCAGCUUGUAGGCAGCAGGGGCUAUUGUGCCUUCUGGAGCAGGAGAAGCUGUGGAAAUUGUCUUUGGUUUGGGUUUGUUUUUUCAAUGACAUAUUUUAGACAUUCAAAAAAGUUUAAAGGAAAAUAUAAUAAGCUUUCAUUGAGCCAUCACUCAGCUUAAGAAGAAAACCCUCCAGUAUAGAUGACACCUGCCCCCAGCCCCCCAUACCCCUUCCCAAUUAUAUUUCUCCUAGAAGUUACUGCAGACCUGGAUUUGGUGUUCAUGGUUCCACCGGUGUCUUUGUCCUUCUGUUGUUUGUUUGAUGGAGGUACAAAGUACACACAGUACAAUACACAAAUCUUAACUGGACAGUUUGAUGGCCCAUGGGAUCACCACCCAGAUCGAGUCACAGGCCAUUCCUAGCCUUUGGUUUUUCUAUCCUUGAACUUCAUACAAAUGGAAUCAUUCUGUGUGUGCUUUUCUGUAUCUGGUGCUUUCACUCAACCUGUGCCCGUGAGAUCUACCCGUGUUCGUGUCAAUGGUUCACCCCUAUUCACUGCUGCAUAGUAGUCUACUGUUUAAAUAGACCACAGUUUAUUAAUCACUCUACUGUCCAUGGAGAUGUAUAUUAUUUCCAGUUUCCAGUAUAUUGAAUAGUGUUGCUAUGAACAUUCUUGUACAUACCUUUUGGUAGACAUAAGAACGUAGUUCUUUUAGUAUUAUGUUCAAGAGUGAGGUUGUUGGAUGAUGGAGUACGCACAUGUUUAGUUCCCGUAGCUAUGGCCAGUUUCCCAAAGUGGUUGUACAACAUCUUUAUGCUUUUAUACACACACACACACACACACACACACGUCCCCUAGAGACUUGGGGCGCUGUUUUGGUUGUGGGUGUGAGUCUACAGAUGGUGUCACUUGUACUUUUGCUUCUGCAACUUGCUUUUUUUCCACUCAAUGUUCUGUUCCCAAGAUCCGUCCCUGUUGGUGUAGCAGCUUGAGUGCAUCUAUUUAUUCUUGAUGUAGGAUCUGUCCUGUGAACAGACCACAGCGUUCUCCUCCAAACUUUUACGUUUAGCUUAUUCCCAACUGGGAUUCUCUUUCCAGAUUUUCAUAAGCAUCUGUUAGGUGUUGAGUGAGGCCAGCGAGGAUGGGGGUGGAGGGGCUGUUGCAUCCAAUCAGGUGGGAGAUGAGGAUGAGGGGCUGCUGGUGCAGAUGGUUUUGAGGGACAUUUUAGGGAACUUGGUUGAGGUGGAGGAGGAAGGAAACAAGACUUGGAUUCUGGAGGCCAGAAACCCGGGGUUGAAUCCCUCCUCUCAUUUUCUGGCUAUGUGACCUUAGGCAUGUCACUUUGCUGCUCAGAGCCUCAGUUUCCUCAUCUGUAAUUUGGGAUCAUUCACCCUGCCUGGCAAGGGUUGAGUGAGCAGAGACAUUUAGUGGUCAGGGUUUGAAUCUAUUUAUUAGCUGAUUGACUUUGGGUACGUUGCUUCAUCUUAGCUUCUCAGUUUCCUCAUCUGGAAAAUGGGGAUAAGAAUAAUACCCACCUCCCAGUGAUUUUGGAAAAAUGAAAUGAGAUCGCAUAUGUAAAGUACUUAGUAAAUGCUCAAUAACUGGUAGCUACUUGUUAUUAUUACUGUUGUUGCUGUUGACUUCUGACUUUCCCACUAGAUGGUAGGUGCUGCGAGGGCAGGGCCUGCUCUUUUGCUCCCAUCUUCCUCCUGGAGGUCAUUGGAAAUAUUUGGAGUCUAACUACACACUACUGCUGCAUCCUGGGUGGGUGCCCUUGGGCGAGCCCAGCCCCCUCUCAGAGCCUCUAUUUUCUCCUGUAAAAUGGGGCUCAUGGCAAUGCCUACCUGACAAGGUAGUUUCUUGCCAGGCAUAUGGUAGGUGGCUUCAAAGGAGAAGGAGCUCUAGAGCAGGUCAGGUGGGGCCCCAAGGGGGCAACAUUUUCCUAGCAGUUCUGUGGCUCAUUCAGUCCAGGGAACUUCCAGAGACGGGGCGGGGAAGGUUGUCACUUCUGGCUGAGCUGCUUUGGAAAGGGGACAUGGUGGCAGUGAAAAGAGAGAGGAAGGGGGAUUCUGGCUCUGCUGACCCCCCUGAGGGCAGGUUUCAGCAGCAGGGAUAACCAAGCCCCUUGCUGCAGAGUGGGGACACUCAGGCCACAGUGAGUGGGAGGCUGACGUCCCAGGUGGCUGACCUGCCUCUGAUGCCCAUGUGCUGUGUGGCUCUGGGUACCUGGUGCACCUUCUCUGUGCCCCGAUUUCCUUUGCUGUGAUUGUCUUAGGGAGGCCUCGCUUCCUUGUCUGUUGGAUUUCCCGGCCCCCGCAGACCCACUGGCCCGGCCCCCUUGCCCUCAUGGAGGCUGAGGCCAGGGCUCAGGGCCAGGGCUGCGCACCUUGACAACCCGCCCACGCCAGGCACAAAGGCCCAUUGUUUGGGCCCAUGUUGGCGGGGAAGCGGGCGGGGAGCAGCCGCCUUUCACCCAACCCGCUUGUGGUUGGCAGGGACUGAGGAGCGAUUCACAGUGGUCCCCACGCCCUGACCGGGCACCUGGCCAGGCCGCCUCCCGGGCAGGCACCCUCGCGAAGCUGGGCCAGCUCGUACCCUGAGCUGAGCCUCAGUUUCCCCUGAGAUCCACAGGGCUCUGGCCUCCCCUGUCACAGAGAAGCCACCCUGCUGUACUUGAGGGGCAAGAGAGAGCCAUCUAUUUGCAGCCCCAGAAACACAUUUCUGCCUUCUCUCCUUGAGCCCAAACCCACCCUUCAAAGUUACCCCAGGAUGGAUUGCUGGCUGCUACUCUGAGUAAGAGGUACAAAAUCCAAAAAGUACAAAAGAAUAUGGAGUGAAAACUUAUCGUGGACACUGUUCCAGAUCAGCACACACAGGUCUGCUCUAUUCUUCUUACCUUGCCACGUGGUAUUCCUUUUUUAAAAAAAAA